UCAGUUCAGAUUGCAGGCUGCAACUCGCCUGCAUGAAGUCGGAAUUGCUAGUAAUCGUAGGUCAGCAUACUACGGUGAAUACGUUCCCGGGCCUUGUACACACCGCCCGUCAAACCAUGGGAGUUGGGAGCGCCCGAAGCCGGUGAGGUAACCGAGAGGAGCCAGCCGUCGAAGGUGAGACCAAUGACUGGGGUGAAGUCGUAACAAGGUAGC
rnacentral:rRNA from 1 species